rnacentral:rRNA from 1 species
UACAGAGGGUGCGAGCGUUAAUCGGAAUUACUGGGCGUAAAGGGCGCGUAGGCGGCCACGCAAGUCGGAUGUGAAAUCCCUCGGCUCAACCGAGGAACUGCAUCCGAAACUGCGAGGCUCGAGUCCUGGAGAGGGUAGUGGAAUUCCCAGUGUAGCGGUGAAAUGCGUAGAUACUGGGAGGAACACCGGUGGCGAAGGCGGCUACCUGGACAGGUACUGACGCUGAGGCGCGAAAGCCAGGGGAGCAAACAGG